CGCGGGGUGGAGCAGUUCGGUAGCUCGUCGGGCUCAUAACCCGAAGGUCACAGGUUCGAAUCCUGUCCCCGCAACCA
rnacentral:tRNA from 1 species